GAGCGAACGGGGAGGAGCCCAGAGCCUGAAUCAGUGUGUGUGUUAGUGGAAGCGUCUGGAAAGGCGUGCGAUACAGGGUGACAGCCCCGUACACAAAAAUGCACAUAUUGUGAGCUCGAUGAGUAGGGCGGGACACGUGGUAUCCUGUCUGAAUAUGGGGGGACCAUCCUCCAAGGCUAAAUACUCCUGACUGACCGAUAGUGAACCAGUACCGUGAGGGAAAGGCGAAAAGAACCCCGGCGAGGGGAGUGAAAAAGAACCUGAAACCGUGUACGUACAAGCAGUGGGAGCCUCUUAAUGGGGUGACUGCGUACCUUUUGUAUAAUGGGUCAGCGACUUAUAUUCUGUAGCAAGGUUAACCGAAUAGGGGAGCCGAAGGGAAACCGAGUCUUAACUGGGCGUUAAGUUGCAGGGUAUAGACCCGAAACCCGGUGAUCUAGCCAUGGGCAGGUUGAAGGUUGGGUAACACUAACUGGAGGACCGAACCGACUAAUGUUGAAAAAUUAGCGGAUGACUUGUGGCUGGGGGUGAAAGGCCAAUCAAACCGGGAGAUAGCUGGUUCUCCCCGAAAGCUAUUUAGGUAGCGCCUCGUGAAUUCAUCUCCGGGGGUAGAGCACUGUUUCGGCAAGGGGGUCAUCCCGACUUACCAACCCGAUGCAAACUGCGAAUACCGGAGAAUGUUAUCACGGGAGACACACGGCGGGUGCUAACGUCCGUCGUGAAGAGGGAAACAACCCAGACCGCCAGCUAAGGUCCCAAAGUCAUGGUUAAGUGGGAAACGAUGUGGGAAGGCCCAGACAGCCAGGAUGUUGGCUUAGAAGCAGCCAUCAUUUAAAGAAAGCGUAAUAGCUCACUGGUCGAGUCGGCCUGCGCGGAAGAUGUAACGGGGCUAAACCAUGCACCGAAGCUGCGGCAGCGACACUAUGUGUUGUUGGGUAGGGGAGCGUUCUGUAAGCCUGUGAAGGUGGCCUGUGAGGGUUGCUGGAGGUAUCAGAAGUGCGAAUGCUGACAUAAGUAACGAUAAAGCGGGUGAAAAGCCCGCUCGCCGGAAGACCAAGGGUUCCUGUCCAACGUUAAUCGGGGCAGGGUGAGUCGACCCCUAAGGCGAGGCCGAAAGGCGUAGUCGAUGGGAAACAGGUUAAUAUUCCUGUACUUGGUGUUACUGCGAAGGGGGGACGGAGAAGGCUAUGUUGGCCGGGCGACGGUUGUCCCGGUUUAAGCGUGUAGGCUGGUUUUCCAGGCAAAUCCGGAAAACCAAGGCUGAGGCGUGAUGA
rnacentral:rRNA from 1 species